GCCUACGGGGCGCAGCAGUGGGGAAUAUUGUACAAUGGGGGAAACCCUGAUGCAGCGACGCCGUGUGAGUGAAGAAGUAUUUCGGUAUGUAAAGCUCUGUCAGCAGGGAAGAAAAUGACGGUACCUGACCAAGAAGCCCCGGCUAACUACGUGCCAGCAGCCGCGGUAAUACGUAGGGGGUAAGCGUUAUCCGGAUUUACUGGGUGUAAAGGGAGCGUAGACGGCGAUGCAAGUCUGAAGUGAAAGGCGGGGGCCCAACCCCUGGACUGCUUUGGAAACUGUAUGGCUGGAGUGCAGGAGAGGUG
rnacentral:rRNA from 1 species